rnacentral:lncRNA from 1 species
GAUAAGCUCAUAUUUAUAUAUAUUUUACAUAAAAUUCACUUGUCUUUUCUUAGUUAGUUCCUUAUAUUUUUGAGCUAUUUACUAUGUUUUUGUGUUUUGUGUGAUUUAUCAAGCAAAGAAAAGAAAAGUAGCACAAGUGAAUUAUUAAGUAACAAAUUCGUCAAAACUGCCUGUGCAGAUUAGCUGACUUUGAAAGCAUGUUACGAACAGCUCAAAAUGAAUGAGAAAAUGAACCUUAUAUGCGUGGAAAGUUACGGAUGUCUAUUUUCUGGAGCAAUUUACGGAUUGUUAAUAUCAUUUUUCUAGACGAAGUUAUGGGCAUUGUAAAGCUGAAAGGUUCAGAAACAUGGACAGCACACACACAAAGAGAAAGGCAAGGCAUGGAGAGUUUGACAUGGGCAGAAAAUGGGUGGAUUGUUGGCUGAAAUAAUGAAGAACAUGUGUGUGCAAAUGCAAAGGAAAAACACACACACAUGGGCAAAGGAAACACACACACAUGGGCAAAGGAAACACACACACAUGGGUAGAAAAUGGGUUGAUUUGUGGUUGAAAUGAUGGAGGUCAUGUGUGUGCAAAUGUAAAGGGAAACAUGGACAUCACACACUCAUCCACCACACCCAUUACAUCCACUCAUUACCAAACACUCAUCCACCACACCCAUUACAUCCACUCAUUACCACAACACUCAUCACUACCAUCUUAAUUAGAUGGUGGUCCUCUCCCUAGCCUAUAAAUACAUCCACCCUUCACCAUAACAAAGGGGAAGAAAACCAAAGAGAACACAAUCCACCCAUCCACCCUUCACCAUAACUCACCUAUAUCCAUCCACCACCAUAAUUUGCCACUCAUCCAUCAAACCACACCUUGUGCUGCUACAAAGAGAAGAAGGAGGACCCUUGGACGUGCUUGCCAUUCAAAUUGGAUUGUUGGAGCGUUUUUAGGUGUUUUCUUUCUUUUGUUUUCAAUGUUUAAAUUUGUUUAUCUUUGCUUUGUAAGUAUGAGUGGCUAAACCCCUAUUUAGUUAGGGGGAAGUUUGAAGCCAUGAACAUGCUUGAGAUUUAAAUUGAUUUCUUCCAAUUGUGAUUUGAUAAGUUGUGAUUGCAAUUCAAUUAUCUAUUUUAUUCAUAACUGAUUCUUGUAUGUUUAUUAAGGAUGCAUACUUAGUUUUCAUGCAUGAAUUAGAUGCUAGAAUAUAAAUGAGUUUCACCUAAUCGUUACAAGUUUAUAUUCAUGAAUAGUGAAGGUUGUUUAUCACAAUCGCGUUAAUUGAAUUCUUGGCAUAAGUUUCAUGCAAUUCAUAGUUACAAGUGUUUCGUCAAUGCUUAUGAUUUUCAUAGAACUUAAUGAUUCUUGCUUGUAUCUCUAUUAUGCAAUUCAUGUAGGGAACUUGUGGGGAAUGCUUUGGGUUGUUG